AACCAAUAUAUAGAAUAUAUGUGAACUUCACAAAUAAGAAAUAAAAACAUUAAUUGAUACUGUCCAUAGACAGAGACUAUUUUUCUUUUUCUUUUUGCUGAUCAUCUCCAUGUCAGUAACUUAACAAGCUCUCAGUUCCAGUGUAGCAGUGUCUACUACUAGCAAAAUAUAGCUUGGAAAUGAGUUAUUGCUGAUACCUAGUUUAUAUUUGGGUCAGAUGGAAGUUGCUGCCUGUCAGACAGCUUGCAGUCCCUUUAGAGAUGCAGAGAAGGGCUUUAUGUGCUGACACAAGACAGUACAAGAUUGUUUAAAAUGGUUGGCAUAUAAAGGACCAGGACAGCAGUAAGUGGUUUUGGCGGUACCCUUGCUGCAAAAUCACUUCUUGGUUUCUAACAGCAGAGAAAGUCUUCUCUAGUAGAAGGAACUACGGUGGCACUCAGAUUUGUGUCAAAAGCUGCCGAGUGCUCUUUCCUAAGUAAUUUUACUGCACAUUAAUUUUGUGCCUGCUUGCUUUUUUAGAUCUAUAAGGUAGAAAUAUUUCACCAUCUGAUGCCAAGUCUAAACAUAGUUUCAGUCUCUAGAUCUGGUUUCUGUGAACAUCCCUGGGCUGUAGAUGGAAGAAAGGAGCAGAAAAGGGAGUCGACAGCAUAGAGAGGAGCCUGUGCUGCAGUCUGAGGGAUAUAGCCCUGAGCACAUCUCCACUGCAAAUUUUAGAAAGAAUGUCUUGAAACAGAAUUCCUCCAAGAACACUGUAGCUCUGCUCUAUUCAGCAUGGGGCUACAGCCAAGUUUUGUGAAGGUUUCUAAUGGCACGUAUCUUGUUUAGCAUGCCACUGGCAAAAUAAUUUUCAGCUGUGGUAGAAGGGUCAUAGGGUUCUGCUUUAAUAUUUGCAUCUUUGUGUGGUAUUUAUCAGAAGCACCUCAAGAUGGGAAACUCAAGAGUUCAGCUACUUCAGUUAUUACACCCUUAAAUGAGACCAGGAGGUUAUCUUUUUUCUUUUAUUUUCUUUUUUUUUUUUUUUUCUUUUUUUUUUUUUUAAUUCCUAUUAGGAUUUUUAUCCCUCUUCCAGACUGAGCUCUUGGAGGAGGAGUGUGUGAAAAAUUCAGUACAUUAUUUUAUCAAAGCUCAGCAAAACUUGAGUUCUGAGCAGUGGUUCAAAGGGAUCCUAUUUUCACCUUUUUCAUGUGUGUGUAUGUGUGCCCACUGCUUCGUUUCUGCUGUUCAGUUCAUUACGAAUGUUAUUGAAGAAGCAUUAAUUUGAGGCAAGGAAUUGUUUUUGUGCUCUAUUACAAGUACAGUUAAUACAUGGACUUCUUUUCUGCUUAUAAGGGAGAAGAACAUUUUGGUAAUUGUAAAUUCACAUGCGCAUGCACAAGCUCUUGCCACGUCCAAUGGCAAGUUGUUAUGGGGACUGGCAGACUGUCAUCAUUUUGAUAGCUUGAGCAGUAUAUCUCCUGAACAGCAAUGGAGCUCUUAUGCAGAGAGUAUCAUAUGUUCCCAGCCAAUUUACAGGGAAACAGCAAUAACAUUUUAUCAUGGUUGAGAGCCCAGUAGCUGCUUCCUAUUAAACUUGCCCUUUCAGAUACCUGUCUUGGAUUAAUUUGUUGAUUUCAAAUGGAAACUCAGUCUUCUCCACUGAAGCAUGACUUUCUAGGAUAGACUCUCACUGAAUGACAAUUACUGUAUAUUCUAGCUGGUUUCAGACCAUUACAAGCCUUGGGCACUGUGGAAGACAGAGGACUUCUUCAGUAACUGAUUUUAAUAUAUGUCUAAUUUUAACUGUCAGUUAUAUAUGCACCAGUGGAUGAAUCCUCAGAAAGAUGAAAUGCAAAGCACUUCUAACUUGCUCUUAUUAAUGAUACACUUGCUGCAAAGGAGGGAAAAAAAUAGGUUCAGGUCUCCUGAAGAGAAUCUGUGUGGUGUUUUAAGAGCAACGAAGUUUGAAGAAGCAGGGAUUUAAACUGACACUAUCUUUUUCUUUUGCUAGAGCAAAAAUAUGCCAGAUCCAGUGCAGACAAUAUUUUAUGUAUUUGUUUAACAUAUAUAUAUAUAUAUAUAUAUAUAUAUAUCUUUUUAAGUGUAUUUUUACAGAGAGGUAGCUGGAAUACUGUGAGGAGAGCAUUCUUUGGGAGGGCUAUAUGCAUCUUGAAAUAAUAAGCUCUCUGUCUUGCAGUAUACUUGCAGCUGUAAUUACGGGCCUCUGCAUGCAGCUAGAUUGCUAAAAAUACUCAUCUGGGUGUAACAACAAUAAGGAGACAAACAAGCCAAGAGAUUUGUUUAGACCAGAAAAUCAACCUCUUUGUACUUGAAAGCUCAGGCAUUGUCUUUUCCCAAUGUGUUUGGGGUUGCUUUUGUUUUGUUUUGGGGGGGAUGACAACAAUUAGAGCAUUUAUUCCAAGAGGUUCUUGAUGAAGAUUUUGAUGCAUUUUGCAAGAUAUAAGUAAAACUAAAAUACUGUGAAGACAUAUUGGUGCUGGAAAAUAUGUUCUGUUUUGUUUUUAAAAAGAUUAAUGGCAAAUGAAAGCAUUCAUUUGAGUCAGGGUUUUCAAACAUAAGAGAAUAAAGUGUGAUCCCAUUCAGGCCAGCAGGGGACUUCCCAUUGAAUUCCAGGGGCUGGUGCAGCAAGUCAUAAAAAGACUGUACAGCAAUAAUGCUAAACAGGUAACUUUGCAGUACAGAAAGUGAUAUUGCUUUGGCAACUAUUUGACACAGAUUUUUCAAACCCUAAAUGCCUAUCAGAGUAAAUAGGCAUAAAAUUUAGCAACUAUUCCAUUGGUAAUGAGCUUUAAUCACCUAGAAAUUAACCUUGAGCACUACAGAGCCUGGAAGCCGUGUUAAGAUCCCCAUGGCUCUGGAGAUCUGCAAAAAUUCUGUGGUAAAAGUUAACAUAAAGAGUCUUGACUUCUAUGUAGGUUAAAAGCUCCACUGGAACUGUGUGGAAAAGGUGUUUAUUGUUAACUUGCUUGCUUAUCCAUGGCGAAGUAGGUUGUAAUAUAUCCAUUUUAAAAUGUCCUUUUCUCCUCUUUGUUUGUUACUGGAGACAGUUACUUUGAUUUAUUUAUUUAUUUAUUGUAUGACUGUAGCUGAACAUUUGUACAGGGCCAGAUAGACUGCUACUGGUCAUUGUUGAUAUACAUGUUGGUAUAAAUACAAUUGGUGUAAAAUGCAAUUGUAGGUAUAAUUGUUGGUAAAUGCUUUGUUCGUAUAAAUUAUUUUGGUGUAAAAUUAUAUUUGGUAUAAAAUUAUAUCAGCAUAAAUGCAAAUUCCAAAGCAUAAACACAAAUUCCACCCCCCACCCACCCC